rnacentral:rRNA from 1 species
UAAUACGAAGGGUGCAAGCGUUACUCGGAAUUACUGGGCGUAAAGCGUGCGUAGGUGGCGAGUUAAGUCUGAUGUGAAAUCCCCGGGCUCAACCUGGGAAUGGCAUUGGAUACUGGCUUGCUGGAGUGCGGUAGAGGGUGGUGGAAUUCCCGGUGUAGCAGUGAAAUGCGUAGAGAUCGGGAGGAACAUCCGUGGCGAAGGCGGCCACCUGGACCAGCACUGACACUGAGGCACGAAAGCGUGGGGAGCAAACAGG